UACGGAGGAUCCAAGCGUUAUCCGGAAUCAUUGGGUUUAAAGGGUCCGUAGGCGGGACAAUCAGUCAGCGGUGAAAGUCUGUGGCUCAACCAUAGAAUUGCCAUUGAUACUGUUGUUCUUGAAUACUUAUGAAGUGGUUGGAAUAUGUAGUGUAGCGGUGAAAUGCAUAGAUAUGUCACAGAACACCAAUUGCGAAGGCAGCUUACUAUGGUUUGAUUGACACUGAGGCACGAAAGCGUGGGGAUCAAACAGG
rnacentral:rRNA from 1 species